rnacentral:rRNA from 1 species
ACUGACCGGCGACAAGUCGGAGGAAGUGGGAUGACGUCAAAUCAUCAUGCCCCUUAUGACCUGGGCUACACACGUGCUACAAUGGGCGGUACAAAGGGCUGCGAACCCGCGAGGGGGAGCGAAUCCCAAAAAGCCGCUCUCAGUUCGGAUUGCAGGCUGCAACUCGCCUGCAUGAAGCCGGAAUCGCUAGUAAUCGCGGAUCAGCAUGCCGCGGUGAAUACGUUCCCGGGCCUU